rnacentral:rRNA from 1 species
GUAGGUGGCAAGCGUUGUCCGGAAUUAUUGGGCGUAAAGCGCGCGCAGGCGGGUCCUUUAAGUCUGAUGUGAAAGCCCACGGGCUCAACCGUGGAGGGUCAUUGGAAACUGGGGGACUUGAGUACAGAAGAGGAAAGCGGAAUUCCACGUGUAGCGGUGAAAUGCGUAGAGAUGUGGAGGAACACCAGUGGCGAAGGCGGCUUUCUGGUCUGUAACUGACGCUGGGGCGCGAAAGCGUGGGGAGCAAACAGGAUUAGAUACCCUGGUAGUCCACGCCGUAAACGAUGAGUGCUAAGUGUUAGGGGGUUUCCGCCCCUUAGUGCUGCAGCUAACGCAUUAAGCACUCCGCCUGGGGAGUACGGCCGCAAAGGCUG